GAACAGUGUAAACGUCAAAAAAAGUCGGCAGUUUCAAAAAAAAGAAUUGUUUGUAUCGGUCCAUCACUCAAAAACAGACUGUUUGAAAGUGAGCAAAGCAAUUCUUAACAACUUUCCAUUUAGCUGAUACCAGUUUAAAAACGACAGUGCAAUGUCUACGUUCUUCCUCUUCUGCACACCAUCUUACGAGAUGAAUGAUCUACGAUUGAUGAUCAUGUUUGCCGUUUCUAAGCUUGUUUAUGUCCAUUUUUUUGUUGUCCAAUGUUUUUCAAGAAUCGAGAAUUUGCCAAUUUUAUUCAUUGCUCAAAAGAAUGGAUUUUGUGAAGAUAUAGAUGUUCUCACUGAGCAGGCGUCUGGAAAUAUGGAAAUUCGUAAUUGGAGUGGAAGAACACUUCUACGGAAGAACACCCUGAGAGUGGUGGAUAACGAAGAUCCGGAAAGUAGGAAAGUGACAAUGCCAACUCAACUGGUAAGAACGAUGAGACGAGAGAAAAAUUUCACUGCGUACAUAAAAUUCAAAAUUCGUCUACAUGAUAUUAACAGUUCAUAAAACAGAAAUAAGAAACAUAAAAAGAGUUCAGAGAAGUGUAGAAUGGGCGUUCGAAAGCAUCUACACUGUCAGUGAUAUUUUAGUAUUUUUAAUGUUUUUCCUUACAACCAUUGAGAUCAGAAUAAAAUGA